GUGGGGAAUAUUGGACAAUGGGCGCAAGCCUGAUCCAGCAAUGCCGCGUGGGUGAAGAAGGCCUUCGGGUUGUAAAGCCCUUUUGUACGGAAAGAAAUCCUGGUGGUUAAUACCCGCCGGGGAUGACGGUACCGUAAGAAUAAGCACCGGCUAACUUCGUGCCAGCAGCCGCGGUAAUACGAAGGGUGCAAGCGUUAAUCGGAAUUACUGGGCGUAAAGCGUUCGUAGGUGGUUUCUUAAGUCUGUCGUGAAAGCCCUGGGCUCAACCUGGGAAUGGCGAUGGAUACUGGGAGGCAAGAGUGCGGUAGAGGAUGGCGGAAUUCCCGGUGUAGCGGUGAAAUGCGUAGAGAUCGGGAGGAACAUCUGUGGCGAAGGCGGCCAUCUGGACCAGCACUGACACUGAGGCACGAAAGCGUGGGGAGCAAACAGGAUUAGAUACCCUAGUAGUCC
rnacentral:rRNA from 1 species